CAAGUUGAACGUUGUUUUCGAAUAAAAAUGAAAACAAAGUGGCGAACGGGUGCGUAACACGUAGGAAUCUGCCAAACAGUUUGGGCCAAAUCCUGAAUGAAUAAAAGCUAAAAAGCGCUGUUUGAUGAGCCCACGUAGUAUUAGGUAGUUGGUUAGGUAAAAGCUGACCAAGCCUACGAUGCUUAGCUGGUCUUUUCGGAUGAUCAGCCACACUGGGACUGAGACACGGCCCAG
rnacentral:rRNA from 1 species